CAUCGAGGGCGCGGUGGUGAUGGAGAUGUUGGUGCCUGUUAUUCUUCCAGCCCGAGUGUGACCUACACCCGCUUAUCCGGAGAAGCGUCGGAAGCUCUUCUCCCCUCGUGUUUGUGCAGCGGAGCUCCGGACCCGGGAGUUUCAUUUCGAUCAGAGCUGGGCCAAUUACUGAAGAGGAUCUCUUCUACUGCAUUUAAGCAGCACAAUAAAUUCAAAGAAACUGAAAUUUCCGACAAUUACAGAACAGGGAGGAAAAAUUAAGCAUAUGAUGCGUGUUGGGGCUUCAGGACAAUCCAAGGAAUUUGGCAAAUUAGAGUUGCCAGGAAGAUUCCUUCUCAUUUGAAAAUCUAUGAAGGAUUUGAAAGUCCUGCCUGCAGGCAAGCAGUUUACUAGGAAAGAGGCUGCUUUGCUGGCUUUACAGACACAUUUCUCCUACUUCAGCUGGGAUUUCUCCACAAAGAUCUUCUGAGAAAGAAAAAUAG
rnacentral:lncRNA from 1 species